rnacentral:rRNA from 1 species
CGUUACCUACGGGACGCAGCAGUGGGGAAUAUUGCACAAUGGGGGAAACCCUGAUGCAGCGACGCCGCGUGAGCGAUGAAGUAUUUCGGUAUGUAAAGCUCUAUCAGCAGGGAAGAAAAUGACGGUACCUGACUAAGAAGCCCCGGCUAACUACGUGCCAGCAGCCGCGGUAAUACGUAGGGGGCAAGCGUUAUCCGGAUUUACUGGGUGUAAAGGGAGCGUAGACGGCCAUUCAAGCCAGAUGUGAAAGCCCGGGGCUCGA